rfam:Oryza nivara chromosome 5, whole genome shotgun sequence.
AAAAAAGCAAACCCUAGAUUUUUGUGUCCAACUUUGACUGUCCAUCUUAUAUGAAAAUUUUUUAUAAUUCGUAUUUUUAUUGUUGUUAGAUGAUAAAACAUGAUUAAUAUUUUAUGCAUGACUUGUCUUUUUAAUUUUUUUCAUAAUUUUUUCAAAUAAAACGGACGGUCAAACGUUGGACACGGAAACCAGGGUUUGUCUUUUU